rnacentral:rRNA from 1 species
GACAGAGGGUGCAAACGUUGUUCGGAAUUACUGGGCGUAAAGAGCGCGCAGGCGGUCGUACAAGUCGCGUGUGAAAGCCCCCGGCUCAACUGGGGAGGGUCACGCGAUACUGUUCGACUCGAAGGCAGGAGAGGGAAGCGGAAUUCCCGGUGUAGUGGUGAAAUGCGUAGAGAUCGGGCGGAACACCAGCGGCGAAGGCGGCAUCCUGGCCCUAUCCUGACGCUGAGGCGCGAGAGCGUGGGGAGCAAACCGG